CAAAUAUUGAAGGAAGGAAUGAGGGUGAGAGAGAGCAACGGUUUUCCAAGGGCCUGCACAGGAAAGAGACAGAAGGGCUCCAGUUGUCUUCUGUAACUGCCCCCAGCAGCUUCAGGCUCCAGGCAGGGAGCAAGGAAGCUAUCAGUACCUGGCAAUAUCAGAUUCUGUGCUGCGCCCCACCACCGUGAUGUCAACUCUAUGGAUGCUUUUGUCUUUUUUUGGCCUUGGGAGGGACCCCGUGGCAGAGGCUGCAGAGACCGGACUGGGGGCUUGAAGGUUUUGAUCCCGGUUCUGCUCUUGCUGUCUUUGUGGCCUUGAACAAAUCACAGCACCUUUCUGCACCUGGAUUUGACGGUAAGUAGAAUGGUAAUAGUAGUGUCUGCCAUGGCUAGCUCCUAGGGAAGUCCUGGGGGUCAAAGGAUCUUUGGGGGACUGAGUGGGGUGUGCCGCCAGAAGUCAACAAACCUUCACCCCUGGCUGGGGUAAAGAGGAAGGGAGAAAAGGAAUAGCAACUAAAGCAGGCUGACCAAGAGAUGAAGAUGACGGGGGUGAGCUGGACAGGAACCAAGCAGAAGCUGGGGAAGGAAGUCGUUUGAGCAGCACUGCCGCGAGUGAGUCUGGAUAUACAGUCAGCCACAAAGAUCUGGGAAGUGUUUUUCCAGCGUACAAGUUGCUCAUAACCUUGCGUGGCAGACAUUAUUUGUUUGUAAUAUGGAGAUGCUAUGCAUUUUGACCUUUCUAGAUUGUGUCUAGCUGGUUCAUG
rnacentral:lncRNA from 1 species